rnacentral:misc_RNA from 1 species
UUACAUCAAGUACAUUCAGUUCAAUUAAAUGAGUUUGUAUAUGAAUUUAGCAGACUGAAGACUUUUUUACGGUCUCCAGUCUCACAAGUGCACAGGGGUGUGUGGAUGAAAAGAGAAGGCGUGCACAUGCUGCCAAAGACAGCCAGCGACAACCGACUCUAAGUUCAUUCAAUAAUGAUCCUUCCGCAGGUUCACCUACGGAAACCUUGUUACGACUUUUACUUCCUCUA